rnacentral:tRNA from 1 species
CAGAAAGUAGUUUAUUAAAAAUACCGGUUUUGGGGGCCGGUGAUGAGGGGUUUCCUCUUUUCUGA